UAUUCCCAGACUGUUCUUCAGAAGUGUAAAACUAUAGCUAAGUGUGUCUGACCGUUUCUUUCUUUUAUUUAUACUUUACUCAAUGGUGCAAUCUCUUCUAAUGCCAUACAGUUCUUCAGGAGCUCAAACUGUAUCUGCAUGUGUCCAUAUAGUUGUUCAGGAGCCCCCAAAAUGUAUCCGAGAGUAUGCGAUUGUCUCUUCCUGGCACUGGCGGCACAAGAGAAGGAGCAACAGAUAUCAUGUUUCAACGGAGGCAUAGGUAGAAUUUUCCCACACCUUUAACUCACCCAAUGACACUGAUACACACGCUGAGGUUUGUUUACAUGGACAUUAUAACCCCUUACCCACCUCCUCUUCCCCCACCCCACCCCUAAGCACUGCCAAUCAAGUGUCAGGUGGGGUAAGGGGGCAUGGGGGAGGAUGAGGAGAGGUGGGGUGGGAGAGUGAGGGUCAGAAGGGGUGAGGGAGGGUUAGAAGGGGUUUGUUAGGGGUGUAAAGAAGGGUCAGGAGGAAUGAGGGGUGUGAGUGAGGGUCAGAAGUGGUGGGGAGUGAGGGAGAGUCAGUAGGGGUGGAGGGGUGAGAGGGAAUCAGGUGGGAGGGUGAAGAGGGGUGCAGGAGUAAGGGAGGGUGAGGUGGGAUGAGGAGAGGGAGUAAGGGAGGGUCGCAUCCAUCACGCUAACCAAUGGCAUGCCUUUGCGGAGGGGAGGGGAGCAGGAUUAAUUACUCUGAGGUGACUUGGUGGUUUGAGGUUCUUGUGUGUAGUUGUUUUUGUAUAAGGCGUUAUUGUCUUCUUGUGACCAUUGCAUCACGCUCCUCUGUGUACCUCCGUCUGUUGGUGCUCCAAGCUUUAACUUUACAUAACCGGAUUGCCGUAAGUGUAAUGGUUUUGCUGUGAUAAAGUACAUUAGCCAGCAAAUCGUCUUUUCACUACUGCACGCUCAUGGCUUCUCAUAUUUAUCUUUUUUUUUUCUUUUUUCUAGUGAUGCUGAAGUUUUUCCCAAUUUACUUUAUUACUGUCCUUGUUAUAACUGUGCUGAGUGGACCUUAGUGCAUAGUGAAGUAUUCCGAAUGUAGGAAGGAAUAACCCCUCACAUGGUUAUUCCUUUAAAUGACAC